rnacentral:rRNA from 1 species
UACGUAGGGGGCAAGCGUUGUCCGGAAUCAUUGGGCGUAAAGAGCGCGUAGGCGGUCCGGUAAGUCGGUUGUGAAAACUGGGGGCUCAACCCUCAGAGGCCGACCGAUACUGUCGGGCUAGAGUCCGGAAGAGGCGAGUGGAAUUCCCGGUGUAGCGGUGAAAUGCGCAGAUAUCGGGAGGAACACCGGUGGCGAAGGCGGUUCUCUGGGCCUUACCUGACGCUGAGGAGCGAAAGCGUGGGGAGCGAACAGG